GCAUUAGAAAGGAUUAACUGUGUUCUUUCAAAAAGAAUUUUGAGUUGUUGGUCGCACGGGGGCGAUGAAUUAAGUUUAAUAUGUUCGGUAUUUUGAAGAAGAACGAUGAAAGAUUGAGUAAUAUGGUGCACACCAAUCGUCCAAUCCUUUCGAGAAAUAACAAGGCAAACGCCUUCUAUUCCUUUUUCGUCCGAAUUAUUUUGAAAGUUCGUUUGUGGAUGUUGGACGUGCACGGUAGUGAGGCGUACGCCUCCUACUUGCUUAUUCAAAGAAUAAUGAGGCGAGUGCCCCCUAU
rnacentral:lncRNA from 1 species